rnacentral:lncRNA from 10 species
UGAGUAGCUAGGAAUGGACAUUUGAAGCCUUGGUUCCAAGACACAAGAAUGCAAGUUUGAAGUGAGUCCUGCAGGAUGCAGCAUAUCCUGUGAACCACUGAUCAGGGCCGGCUGAACUGGCAGAUGCAGACCUGUGAACACAAAGGGCCAACUGUCCAUCUCUUACAUGCUUUGUGGAAUGGAGGUUUAUUCGGACUGAGUAUAUUCAUACAUGUGAUGCCGAAUUUCUGAAAGAAGUUCUACGUGGGUCAUUCAGUCCCUGAAAUCCUAUUCUAAGUCUGCUCACUUCAGAAUCCAUGAAGAAUCUGCCUCUGACAUCCUCAGUGCCACAUUAACUAGUGCCUAUGGGCGGCACAGAGCAUACUAUGGGGACACUCAUUCUGCAAUCAAGGAAAUCAAGGGAAAUAGAAGUUAGGUCACUAAUUUUUUUCUAACACAUAGAAAAUAAGAAAUAAAAUUCACAAGCCUCCAAUAUUUACAUGUUAAGUGGUAGGUGGUUAAUAAAUCUUUGUAAGUAAAAGCAAGAAGACAAAGUGUUUGAGUUACUGGAUCAUUGCUGCCUCCCAAAGAACAGAAUACAUGUUGAGCCUGGAAGGGCAGACUCCUACAAAUGACUGGAAAGCUCAACUGAUUGGAGUAUCAUUCUCGGCCUAUGACACUGACCUCCCAUAAGUAGCCUCCAAUUUUGUUAUUUACUGAUUCUGAAGCAAUUUCCAAAAUCUGUAAAUUUUCCACCCACUUUCUUCCGGCUUCUGAAACUAUAGAAUACUUUGCGACUGAAGUUUAUACCGCUGACCCUGAACUUUCCAUUCACUUGCCAGCAACAAUGUAUUUUUUUAUUAUGCGUAGUACUCUAUAUUUGAUAUCAUUUAUAUUGAAAUAAAGCUUUCACUUUAUAAUAGUUACAUUAUGUAUAAAUUAUGUAUAAAUGCAUGGCAUAUGCUACAUUAUAAUGAAAUGUAUUCUUUCAUAAUAGCUCCUACUACAUACCAG